rnacentral:rRNA from 1 species
AUUGAACGCUGGCGGCAUGCCUAACACAUGCAAGUCGAACGGCAGCACAGUGUGUAGCAAUACGCAUGGGUGGCGAGUGGCGGACGGGUGAGGAAUACAUAGGAAUCUGCCCUGUAGCGGGGGAUAGUCCGGGGAAACUCGGGGUAAUACCGCAUACGACCUACGGGUGAAAGAGGGGGGUCGUGAAGACCUCUCACUAUAGGAUGAGCCUAUGUCGGAUUAGCUAGUUGGUGGGGUAAAGGCCUACCAAGGCGACGAUCCGUAGCUGGUCUGAGAGGACGACCAGCCACACCGGAACUGAGACACGGUCCGGACUCCUGCGGGAGGCAGCAGUGGGGAAUAUUGGACAAUGGGGGAAACCCCUGAUCCAGCAAUGCCGCGUGUGUGAAGAAGGCCUUCGGG